rnacentral:rRNA from 1 species
GAUGGACGCUAGCGGCAGGCUUAAUACAUGCAAGUCGAGGGGGCAGCAAUGUCACCGGCGGACGGGUGCGUAACGCGUAUGAAACCUACCUUUAUCAGGGGGAUAGCUCGGGGAAACCCGGAUUAAUACCGCAUAAUAUAUUGAAUGGCAUCAUUUGAUAUUGAAAGAUUUAUUGGAUAGAGAUGGUCAUGCGUAGGAUU